rnacentral:miRNA from 1 species
GCUCACACACACACACAGCCA